GAUGGCGGCGGGCUGGGGCACCUGCUAGGCCGGGGGCGGUGGCUCUCGCUGAGGAGGAUGGAGGGGGCGAAGCGGGAGCUGCGCGUAUUGCUGGCGUCCCUCUCGGGGGAGGCGCGGAAUUCCCUGCGGGACGCAGCCUGUGUCCGGCUAAGCAGGGGCCAGGACGCUCUGGGCAGCCUCCUGGUCCCUGGUGGGAUCUACCUGGAGUCCCUGGUGCCGGGCGGAGGCGGCCGGGCCAGGGGCACCGUCCUCCCAGGAGCCUGGGCUGACUUCAUGUGGGAGAAUACAGAAGAUGAUGAUCUGCAAGCAGACAAGACAAAAAUACUGGCUCUCACUAAGAGUCAUGAACUGUUUGUCUAUGAAUUCACUAUAGAAGAUGGAAAAUACAACCCGAUUUCCCUGCACAGUUGUAAGGAAGAUACAUUUAAAAAGCUCGUUGAAGUUAAAAACAUUAGUCUGUCUUCAAUUUUCUCUUUGAGAAUACUGUCUUUCGAAAACAACAAAUGCAUACUUCUGCUCAAUAAGUUUAUUGUUGUGCAUCUUACCUUUCCUGGGAAAGACUCAUCGUUAGAGACGUGUGACUGCUUUACCCUUGAUUUGCCUCCACAAGUUCUGGAAAGAAUAACAGACACUCAGUUCUGCAGGGGGAUCCUGUUUCUGUUAGAUAGUUCUGGCUGGAUUUACGUAUUUGACUCUUUUGAUGGUGCAAACCUAGCAAACGUCAACGUAGCGCUCUGCCAGGGAGGCGCGCAGGACGAGGGCAGGAGCCCAGCCAUCGCUUCGCCACUCACGGCGGUCAAAGUGUCGCACGACCUCAGUCUCGCUGUGAUCACCAGUUCUUCCAACUGUGCCACCUCUGUGGAUCUAAACAGGUACUUCAGGCAGUUCCCUGAGCAUUUGCUCUGCAAGAGAGAUUCUGAAAAUCUUCCAGUGAAGCCUCCUGAAGGACUCGAUGAGGAUGACCUCGCCAGUUCUGACUAUAGCAUGGAGCUUUUGUCAUUGCCUUUCCGCACAGACAGGUCCUGGAGGGCACAUUUAUCCUCACUAUGUGAUAGAGUAAGGAGAAGACGACCAGGUUCUCCAGAUUUGGUGAAUGACUUGAAUUUACCUUGGUAUCAGUUUUUUACCCAUCUUGAAGAUCAUGAUCCUGAGAUCUAUGAAAAUUCUGAGAAGAUGGUGGCUUUUGUUCCACGAGCUGUUAAGUGGGCCCCUUCCAAACCAGUACAAAGUGCUGGUACAAACCUCAGCAAUGCAAGACAGCGAUGGAAACAGAUCCCCAUAGAAGCACCACAAGAAGUGGUGAAACUGGAGUGUAAAUUGGUAACUGGAGUUAAAGCCCUGUUUGUUGUAUUAACAAAUGACAAAGGAGUGACCCUUGCUCUCUGGGAUUUUGAGUCGCAAGAUGUGACGUAUUACUACUUUGGCAAAAACAGUGUUUACGUGGAUUGCAGUGAAGAGGUGCCGUUAUGUCUGCUUCUGACAGAGCAUGGUCUCUCCUUAGUUCUGUUUGGUUUAACUCAAGAAGAGUUUUUGAAUAGAUUGAUGAUAUAUGGCAGCGCUGGAGUUGUAGAUUCUGUUUGUCAUCUCAAUGGAUGGGAACGAUGUUCGAUUCCAAUACAUGCGCUAGAGGCAGGCUUGGAAAAUCGUCAGCUAGACACGGUAGACUUAUUUUUAAAAAGCAAAGAAAGUCUUUUCAAUCUGUCUGCACCCAGCUCUGGGCCUCAACAGUCUACUGAUAGUACAUCCCAGUCUUAUCUGAAAAAUUUGGAAGAGCUGAGGCCAGCUUUAAACUUGCUUUGCUCAGCGAUCAAAGAAAGUGAUAUGGAGCCUCACAGUAAACACUUUUCUGAGCAGCUGCUAAACCUCACGUUGACUUUCCUUAGCAAGCAACUCGAAGAAAUUUUCGUGCACACAGAGGAACCUGAUGAAUUCAUGCAGAAGAGUGCAGAUAUUUUAACUGAUUACAUUAUUAAACUUAGAAAAUUUCUGAGAAAAUAUCCUCGACCACAAACAAAUACAGUACACACAGGAGGUGAUCUUGAUGAAGACCUGCCUGAAUUAGAAGAAAGCCACAUGUGGGAAAAACUGACACCAGAGGAAGUCAUUGCUGAGGCCAUCUUAAGCAACAAAAUGCCAGAGGCUCAGGCCUUCUUCCGAAUGCAUCAGCAUCCUGCUCAAAGUCUUCAAGAAUUUAUUCAGACAGGUUUGAGUCUGGUCUAUGACCGUCUCCUGAAGGACAAUACAGGAGAGGCCUCAGAACUUUUAAGAAAUAUGGGCUUUGAUGUGAAGGAGGAACUGCAUAAGAUAUGCUUCUACACAGUUGAUAAACAUGUACGAGAUUUGUUGGUGAAAGUUUUACGAGAAGAAAAUUAUUUUUCUGAAAAAGAGAAGAAAAUGAUAGACUUUGUGCAUCAGGUUGAAAGCUUUUACUCGGAAUCCUUCCAAGAAAAUAAAGAGAUUCAAUCUCUUUCCAGUUUCAAGAACUGGAGAAAGGAACAAGACUUUUCCAGACACGCAGCUGUUCUCGACUCGUUGCUGAAUUGUGAUAGACAUCAGGCUCACAACAGGAGAGUCAGGGUGAUGUUUAACUGGGCUCAGUGGUGGGAUGAGCUUACUCAGGAAAUGGUUCUUCUCCCCAGAAAACCACGCCAAGAACUCAAGACGUGUAAUCCUGAGGUUCUUUGGAUGCACUUGACAGCCCAGCAUGAUUGGCUUAAUAUUUGUUCAUGGAUUGAAGAAUUUGAGCCCAACCAGACUUUGUGUGGACAAGCUAACUGGCCCCCUCUUACUCCAGACAUUAUUGACCGGAACAUGUUAUGUAGUAGCUAUAUGAGAAAUGAUAUAUUAAACAAGCUGGCUAGAAAUGGAAUUUUUGUCCAUUCUGAGUUGGAAGAUUUCGAACUGCUGCUCCAAAGACUGUCUUACCUUGGGGGAGUACUGCAAAAUCCUCACCCUGUUCCAAAAUACAGUGCUGCAAACGGUUUGGACUUCCAUGCUCGUUUUGUCCUUCACUGUUUAGAACAUAAUUUGCAGUAUCUGUUAUACACUUACUUAGACUAUUACAGUUUAACUCCUUCGAAUUGCCCUAUUUUGGAUAACAAGGAAUUGCAUGAAGCGCAUCCCUGGUUUGAAUUCCUUGUGCAGUGUCGAGGGGUUGCCAGUAAUCCACGAGAUCCAAAGAUGAUUUUUCAGGCUAGUCUAGCAAAUGCUCAGAUCUUGAUUCCUAGUAAUCAAGCCAGUGUGAGUAGCAUGCUACUGGAAGGACGUACACUACUAGCACUUGCUACAACAAUGUAUGCACCUGGAGGUAUUGAUCAGGUUCUUCAGAAUGAAGAUACGGAAAAACCUCUGAAGAAAGUUGAUCCACAGCUCUUAAAAAUGGCGUUGACUCCUUACCCCAAGCUCAAGGCUGCUCUCUUUCCCCCGUGUACUUCGCAUGGAAUUUUGCCACCAGACAUCUCUCUUUACCAUCUUGUUCAGUCAUUAGUGCCCUUUGAUCCCACUAAAUUAUUUGGCUGGCAGUCAACGAAUACUCUUGCUGUAUCAGAUGCAUCAAGUGACUUUCCCCAUUUUUCAUCCCCUGAACUGGUGAACAAAUACGCUAUAAUGGAACGACUGGAUUUUUUGUAUUAUUUGCACCAUGGACGUCCGUCAUUUGCUUUUGGUACAUUUUUGGUCCAGCAGUUAGUAAAGAGCAAAUCCCCCAAACAGUUGAUUCAACAAGCAGGAAAUGAAGCCUAUAUUUUAGCUCUUUCUUUCUUCAGUGUACCUUCAGUAGGAGCAGCCUGUGUGUGUUUUCUAGAAUUGCUUGGUCUCGACAGCCUCAAACUCAGGGUCGAUAUUAAAGUUGCAAACAUAAUUUUCAGUUACAGAAUUAGAAAGGAAGAAUCUCAGCACAAUCAAAUAAGAGAAUCUUUGGUUGAAAAGUUAACAAAAUUGGCUGAUGGUGAAAAAGCAGCAGCAGCAGAACUUCUUAUCUCCUUAGAAGAAGCCUUUUGGGAUGCAGUUGAGCAUCAAGGAAUAAAGAAGACAUCUAGUGACUCUAGAAGGCAGUGGUCUUUGGUAAUGCAGUUCUGUAAACUCCAUGAUAUCAGACUGAGUACAUCUUACCUAAAGGAAUGUGCCAGAUCCAACGACUGGCUGCAGUUCAUCAUCCAAACCCAGCUGUACAGCUACCAGCCAGAUGAGGUCAUUUCUAUCCUUCAGGAUUUCACUCCCAUUUUACAAGAUCACUUGAUGCUGGCAUUGGAGAAGUUGCCGUGUUUGUGUCCUGAUGCAGGGAGUCCUGGGAACAGUGCUGCCAGUGUGUUUAAGAGCAAAUAUGCAGAUAGUCUCUUCCAAAUCCUUCUUCAGUGUCAGGGGCACUCAAACCCUUCGUGUUACCUUUUGACUGAAGGAUUGAGAGAGCACGCUCCCAUUCUGAGUGUUUUAGCAGCGUGCUUCCAGGAUGCAAACAUUAUUCAUUGUCUCUGUGUUUGGAUAAUUACUACUGGGGAUGAUGCUACCAGAGCUGAAGCAACAAGCCACAUUCAGAGCUCAGCAGAAAACCACAAAUGGGAUCUUCAUGACCUAUCAGUUAUCUGGAAAGUCUUUUUAAGAAAGCAAAAAAGUAAAACACUUCUAAACGGCUUCCAGCUCUUCUUAAAGGAUUCCCCUUUACUGUAUAUACUGGAGAUGUAUGAACUAUGCAUGAACUGUAAAAAAUACAGUGAAGCUAAAACCAAACUGGACGAAUUUCAGGAAAGUCUCACAAAACUUAAAACUGAAGAUGAACCAGCAGCUUCAGAAUUACCUGUGCAGUGGUUGGAAUCACAAGCACUGUUUCUUCUUGAAUUGAUGAUGCAGCAGUGUAGAACGGAGUAUGAAUUAGGAAAGCUCUUACAGCUGUAUGCUGCAGCAGAGAAUCUUCUACUCGAUGGUCCUUACGUGAAGAAACUCUGUGCGCUCAGUGAGACUCUGAAGGAUUCCUCCAUAUCAAUUAAUCGCUCCAUCCUAACCAGUUACACUAUGGAGACAUUUCAGAGCGAGUGCAGAUCCAUUCUGGAGCAGCUACAAGAGAAAGGAAUGUUCUCACUGGCCCGGGAGGUCGCAGCACUAGCUGAAUUGCCUGUGGACAAUGUAGUGACGCGAGAGGUUCUGAGAGAUCUACACUGUUUAAGAGACACUGGACAGUGGCAACAAAUCCAGACAAGAACUGAAUUCUGGAAAAAAUGUAAUGACAACUUCUUGAAAAAUUCAAUCUCCAGCAAAGCUGCGUCUGAUUUUUUUUUUGAUCAGGCAAACACAGUAUUUGAAUCUUUAGCUCAUGAGAAGAUAAACAGCGUUAUGGAGAGACAUUUGUUGCUUACCCUAGCUGGCCACUGGCUAGCCAAGGAUGACUCGGUGUCACUGCCCGAAUUAGAAGAAAUAGAGAAGCAGAUCUGGAUUUGUCGCAUCACACAACGAACGUUAUCUGCAGAUGAGGGGUCAGGCAAGUCGAGAUUUUCCUCCCAUGCUGUAGUGAACAGGGAUCUUACCUUUGAUAACCUGGCUAAGGAGUUUUCUUUUUCAAAGCUACCUGCUCUGAACACACCAAAGUAUUUAAAACUAGAGGGUCUUGCAUUCAGAGAGUCUCAACAGACCUUGACCAGCGAAGAGGAGGAAUCGCUCAGGUUCCUGAUCGGAUGCCUUCUUGAUGAAGGAAGUGUGCAUGAAGCCGGCCGUGUUUGUCAGUAUUUCCAUUUCUACAACAGAGAUGUUUCACUGGUAUUGCAUUGCAGAGCUCUGGCCUCGGGGGAGACUGAGCUAGACAAAUUACCCGCGGAUAUUCAGACUCUCCUUGUGGCAGGAGAGAAGACCUCUGAAAGCAGCGCAUCUCAGCAAAGCAGAGUCCCGAGCACAUCAAGCGUGGAAGACUGGACACACAUUGUGGCUCCGUCGCUAGAUGAUCAGGUUGUUAGCAGUCUGAAGGCUCUCAUAGAUGAAUGUGUCCAUGGGAGAAACUACUGCAGACAGGUUCUCUGUUUGUAUGAGCUUUCUAAGGAACUGAACUGCUCCUACAGUGAAAUGUCAGCCCACGACCCUGAAAAAGUGAUUCGAGCAAUUCUGUCAUCCCGUCAGGCGGACAGAUGCAGGAAGGCUCAGGCGUUCAUCACCACGCAGGGCCUCCAGCCUGCAACCGUGGCAGAGCUGGUGGCUGAAGAAAUCACGCAGGAGUUACUGGUGUCUUCAGAAGGGAAGGGACAGAAACAGGUUUUGAAUGCUGCAGCUGAGAGCCAGGCAUUCCUACAGCUCGCUAAGCUCUGCCAGGAUCAUACACUGGUUGGCACGAAGUUAUUGGAUAAAAUUUCCUCUGUACCACGUGGGGAGCUGUCAUGCAUUACAGAAUUGCUGAUUUUGGCCCAUAACUGCUUUAGUUUGACUUGCCACAUGGAAGGCAUCACUAGAGUGCUCCAAGCAGCACGGCUUCUCACCGAUGAACAUUUGGCACCUAAUGAAGAGUACGGGCUCGUGGUUCGACUUCUCACUGGAAUUGGCAGAUACAAUGAAAUGACCUACAUAUUCGAACUGCUGCACGAGAAACACUACUUUGAAGUGCUCAUGAGAAAGAAAUUAGACCCGAGCGGGACGCUGAAGACGGCUCUGCUGGAUUACAUCAAGCGUUGUCGCCCGGGGGACAGCGAGAAGCACAACAUGAUAGCCCUCUGCUUCAGCAUGUGCCGAGAGAUUGGGGAGAACCACGAGGCUGCUGCUUGCAUACAGCUUAAACUCAUUGAAUCUCAGCCCUGGGAGGAGUCUCUUCAGGAUGUUGCAAAUUUAAAGAAGCUGCUGGUGAAAGCUCUGACUCUCUUUACUGAUGCAGCAGAAAGUUAUUCUAAGGACUCCUGUGUGCGCCAGUCCUUGCGCUGCAGCCGGCUAACAAAGCUGAUAACGCUCCAGCUGCAUUUCCUCAACACUGGGCAGAGCACCAUGCUGAUCAACCUGAACAGACAGAACCUGAUGGACGCCCUCCUGUCCUUGCCUAGAUUCUAUCAGGCAGCUAUUGUGGCUGAGGCUUACGAGUUUGUUCCAGAUUGGGCUGAAGUUCUGUAUCAACAAGUGAUCACCAAGGGAGACUUCACUUACUUAGAAGAAUUUAAACAACAAAGACCACUGAGGCCUGGCAUCUUUGAGGAGAUCUCUAAGAAAGCCAAGCACCACCCACCCACUGAUGCUGCUCUGAAAAAUCUGAAGAAAUUGCUCACUUACUGUGAAGACAUCUACACGUACUACCGCCUGGCUUACGAUAACAAGUUCUACGACGUGGCGAACGCGCUUCUGAAGGACGCGCAGACUGGCUGUUGCCUUAAGGACAUGUUGGCACACUAAGGCCGAGCUCCGCCAGGCAGGGGCUGGCUCUGACAAGCGCCGCCGCUUCUUGCACGGGAGAUAGAGGCGUGACAGGAAACAUUAGCUGCGAUCCCCGCCAGACGCCGCCGGAGGAACAAGUAACCCCACUCAGUUCCUUCACCCCCACCGAGGCUUUACAAAACCAAAGCUGAGGUUUGCUCGCUCCAAGCUAAGAGCCCGCGGUACCAGCCUGGACGGGAAGAUGUUCUGCUGCAGAACCUGGUAAUCUGAACGGGCUGCUCCUGUUCUCGGGAGCAGCAUGCACUGCAGGAAGCCCCUCUGCCCUUCAAUAAAGAAUUCCUGUCUUGA